ACAAUGGCAGGUACAGAGGGGUGCUACCGGGUGACCGGAUGCCGAUCUCGAAAACCUGUCCCAGUUCGGACUGGAGUCUGCAACCCGACUCCACGAAGUUGGAUUCGCUAGUAAUCGCGCAUCAGCCAUGGCGCGGUGAAUACGUUCCCGGGCCUUGUACACACCGCCCGUCAAGCCAUGGGAGCCGGGGGCGCCUGAAGUCCGGGACCGCGAGGACCGGCCUAAGGCGAAACUGGUGACUGGGGCUAAGUCGUAACAAGGUACC
rnacentral:rRNA from 1 species